rnacentral:rRNA from 1 species
UACGGGGGGGGCAAGCGUUGUUCGGAAUUACUGGGCGUAAAGGGCUCGUAGGCGGCCAACUAAGUCGGAUGUGAAAUCCCCAGGCUUAACCUGGGAACUGCGUCUGAUACUGGAUGGCUUGAGUCCGGGAGAGGGAUGCAGAAUUCCAGGUGUAGCGGUGAAAUGCGUAGAUAUCUGGAGGAAUACCGGUGGCGAAGGCGGCAUCCUGGACCGGCAUUGACGCUGAUGAGCGAAAGCCAGGGGAGCAAACAGG